rnacentral:tRNA from 1 species
UGCAGCGUCACCUAACGGCAAGGUACUCGGCUCAUAACCGAGAGUAUAUGGGUUCAACUCCCAUCGCUGCUACCA